GCAGACACAUUCCAGCCAAUCAGCAGCAGACCCUCCCUCCCAGACCCUCCCACCUCCUGGACAGCUCACUAAGAAUGCAGCUUCACAAUGAAUGUAAAAUGGAUGCUGUCCAGGAGGUGGGAGGGUCUGGGAGGGAGGGUCUGCUGCUGAUUGGCUGGGAUGUGUCUG